UCGCUUUGGUAGCACAUAUACUAAAAUUUGAAUGAUACAGAGAAGAUUAGCAUGGCCCCUGUGCAAGGAUGACAUGCAAAUUUGUGAAGCGUUCCAUAUUUUU
rnacentral:snRNA from 1 species